rnacentral:tRNA from 1 species
GGGUGGCUAGCUCAGCGGUAGAGCACUGCCUUCACACGGCAGGGGUCACUGGUUCGAACCCAGUGCCGCCCACCA